ACAAUGAAGAGUUUGAUCCUGGCUCAGGAUGAACGCUAGCGACAGGCCUAACACAUGCAAGUCGAGGGGUAUAGUAGCAAUACUAGAGACCGGCGCACGGGUGCGUAACGCGUAUGUA
rnacentral:rRNA from 1 species